UUUUUACUGUCACUGUGUUCCCCUCGUGUUCGACCAGCAGCUGUGAGGUUGCUGGUUGAAAUCCUCACUCAGACAGGUAGCCGAAGAGCUGCAGAGUCACGGUGUGGAUUGCGCAACAGGGCGUUUCCUGCAGAGGGUAAAUGAAAUACCGUGAGAUGUGUCCGUGGGGGAGACACGCACAGACAGACUUCACAGGUUUCACAACAUGUGACCAGCGAUGAUGGAAUAUGUGUCUUAUUCCACACAGAACUUCCCCUGAGAAACUACUUUUGUCUGUAAGAACAAUUGGAACUAUGAAAGUUAAGAUCAGCAGGGAUUGAGGACAAAUAAAAGGUUUUAUAGUUAAAAAUUAUCAUGUUUAAAGUGACGAAAGGUCUAAUAUCUGUAAUCAAUGCAGAACAUACAUAUUGUAGGGGAGCACAUCUGGCACACGCGUGUGUCUCAUCUGCAUGUGAAUGAGUUAUAGCUGCUGCCGUGUCGGUAAUUACCCACAUUUAUAAUUGAUUUGGAGAUGAUUAGAUAAAAGAGUGCAGCCGUGUGCUGAAAGUUCCGUCUAGUUCAAGAACUUUAAUAGACUCAUCAUCAUCAUCAUCAUCGUCACCAUCAUCGUCAUCAUCAUCAUCAUCAUCACCAUCAUCACCAUCGUCAUCGUCACCAUCAUCAUCAUCAUCACCAUCGUCAUCGUCACCAUCAUCAUCAUCGUCAUGCUGAGUUGAUUCAUUUUUCUACUGAAAACUCUUCUCAUGUUAGAAAGUGGAAUCCUGACCCGCACAGUAAAAAGAUUCAAGUUGAGUGUGAGUGACACUAAAUGACUGCAAGUGACUCGAGUUAAAGUCUUUUCUCGGGGACUAAUGAUAUGAUAAGGAUAUGAAGCUCGUCUUCACUGUCUGUCUCCACCAGAGUCCACGUGUCCUCGGGUCAAACAGGAAGCACCACGGCCUCAAAAACAACACGCAGCACGUUGUUAGCGGAAUGAAAUGCGUUGCUGCUGCGGGUCACGUCUGUCUGGGGCAGCGUGUAAAUCAUUUAUGUGUAAUAAGAGCCGGGGGGGCGCUCGGGGGUCACGGAUGUUGUCGGAGCACAUUCCCACAUCUGUGCACAUCAGGAGAGGAGCUGAAGUCGACACAAAGCCAGGCGAUGAAGCGGAAGUAGCAUGUUUAGACCAGGAGGGGGCGCCAGAAGAAGCCCAUGAAACCAGCGACCAGCGAACAAACGUGCACAUACAAUACAAAUAAAACGCAGCUGAUACUCGUCCCAGGGUGCUGCUGCUGGUUGGACAUGAAGAUCAUUCAGAUGUUGCGUGUUAACAGCUACUGGGACGUCAGUGCCGCGUCAUUACAAAGAUAAAGCAAAGGACGGAGACACGCGGCAGACGCUGCUUGUCUGGAUCCAACUUUCAUGUCAUAUUUCUAUAUUUUACAUGAGCUCUUUUCUCCCCUUGCUGUGAGCUGCGCUCUUCAG
ensembl:lncRNA